rnacentral:rRNA from 1 species
GAUGAACGCUGGCGGCGUGCCUAAUACAUGCAAGUCGAGCGAACAGACGAGGAGCUUGCUCCUCUGACGUUAGCGGCGGACGGGUGAGUAACACGUGGAUAACCUACCUAUAAGACUGGGAUAACUUCGGGAAACCGGAGCUAAUACCGGAUAAUAUAUUGAACCGCAUGGUUCAAUAGUGAAAGACGGUUUUGCUGUCACUUAUAGAUGGAUCCGCGCCGCAUUAGCUAGUUGGUAAGGUAACGGCUUACCAAGGCAACGAUGCGUAGCCGACCUGAGAGGGUGAAAGGGCAAAAUGGAAAUGAGACAAGGGCCAGAAUCCUAAGGGAGGCAGGAGUAGGGAAUCUUCCGGAAUGGGCGAAAGCCUGACGGAGCAACGCCGCGUGAGGGAAGAAGGGCUUCGGAUCGUAAAACUCUGUUAAUAGGGAAGAACAAAUGUGUAAGUAACUAUGCACGUCUUGACGGUACCUAAUCAGAAAGCCACGGCUAACUACGUG